rnacentral:rRNA from 1 species
UGUGCCAGCAGCUGCGGUUAUACUUUUAAGUAGAGCUUUAUAUUACAAAUUGUAAAAUAAAAUUUUAAUUUUCUGUUAUAAGAAUUAAUAAACAAAUUUUAUUAAACCUAAACAAAUGAAUAUAUUUAACAAAACUGGAUUAGUACCCAGGUAUGAAGUUAUUUUUAGGUAUUAUAAUUAAACCUAAACUGUCUGGCAGUUAUUUAUUCUUUUUAGAGAAUUUUGGUUUAUAAAUUGACACCCCACAAUUUUAUUUACUAAGCUGAAGCUUACGUGUGGUUGUUUAAAAAUAAAUUUUACAUUAAAUUUUUGUCCAAAUAACAUGUAGCCUGGCCUAGGAAUUACUGAAAUGCAAUAAAACUAAUUAACAAACUAACAGGAUUUAAUAGUAGGCGUAACACAUCGAACAAGUUAUAAAUAAGGGACAUAUUGUCCGUCACUCUCUCUAGAGAUAAAUCGUAGCAAAGGAGAAAAAA